rnacentral:rRNA from 1 species
AGUGAACGCUGGCGGUAGGCCUAACACAUGCAAGUCGAACGGCAGCACAGGAGAGCUUGCUCUCUGGGUGGCGAGUGGCGGACGGGUGAGGAAUACAUCGGAAUCUGCCCAGUCGUGGGGGAUAACGUAGGGAAACUUACGCUAAUACCGCAUACGACCUUCGGGUGAAAGAGGGGGAUCGCAAGACCUCUCGCGAUUGGAUGAGCCGAUGUCGGAUUAGCUAGUUGGCGGGGUAAUGGCCCACCAAGGCGACGAUCCGUAGCUGGUCUGAGAGGAUGAUCAGCCACACUGGAACUGAGACACGGUCCAGACUCCUACGGGAGGCAGCAGUGGGGAAUAUUGGACAGAGGGCGCAAGCCUGAUCCAGCCAUACCGCGUGGGUGAAGAAGGCCUUCGGGUUGUAAAGCCCUUUUGUUGGGAAAGAAAUCUUUCAGGCUAAUACCCUGGGAGGAUGACGGUACCCAAAGAAUAAGCACCGGCUAACUUCGUG